rnacentral:rRNA from 1 species
CACGCAGGCGGUUCUGCAAGUCUGAUGUGAAAUCUCCGGGCUUAACUCGGAAUGCGCGUUGGAAACUGCAAGACUAGAGUAUUAGAGGGGGAGUCGGAAUUCCUAGUGUAGGGGUGAAAUCUGUUGAUAUUAGGAAGAACACCGGUGGCGAAGGCGGACUCCUGGCUGAAUACUGACGCUGAGGUGCGAAAGCAUAGGGAGCAAACAGGAUUAGAUACCCUGGUAGUCUAUGCUGUAAACGAUGUGCACUUGGUGUUGGGCCGAUUAGGUUCAGUGCCGAAGCUAACGCGAUAAGUGCACCGCCUGGGGAGUAUGCCCGCAAGGGUGAA